rnacentral:rRNA from 1 species
ACUCCUACGGGAGGCAGCAGUAGGGAAUAUUGGUCAAUGGGUGAGAGCCUGAACCAGCCAUGCCGCGUGCAGGAAGAAGGCGUUCUGCGUUGUAAACUGCUUUGAUCGGAGAAUGGGAGUCUUUGCGAAGGCCGAUGACGGUACCGAUAGAAUAAGCACCGGCUAACUCGUGCCAGCAGCCGCGGUAAUACGGAGGGUGCAAGCGUUGUCCGGAUUUAUUGGGUUUAAAGGGUGCGUAGGCGGAUUGGUAAGUCAGUGGUGAAAGGCAGCGGCUCAACCGUUGAGUUGCCAUUGAUACUGUCAGUCUUGAGUGCACUAA